UUAAGCGACUAAGCGUACACGGUGGAUGCCCUGGCAGUCAGAGGCGAUGAAGGACGUGCUAAUCUGCGAUAAGCGUCGGUGAGGUGAUAUGAACCGUUAUAACCGGCGAUUUCCGAAUGGGGAAACCCAGUGUGUUUCGACACACUAUCAUUAACUGAAUCCAUAGGUUAAUGAGGCGAACCGGGGGAACUGAAACAUCUAAGUACCCCGAGGAAAAGAAAUCAACCGAGAUUCCCCCAGUAGCGGCGAGCGAACGGGGAGGAGCCCAGAGCCUGAAUCAGUGUGUGUGUUAGUGGAAGCGUCUGGAAAGGCGCGCGAUACAGGGUGACAGCCCCGUACACAAAAAUGCACAUGCUGUGAGCUCGAUGAGUAGGGCGGGACACGUGGUAUCCUGUCUGAAUAUGGGGGGACCAUCCUCCAAGGCUAAAUACUCCUGACUGACCGAUAGUGAACCAGUACCGUGAGGGAAAGGCGAAAAGAACCCCGGCGAGGGGAGUGAAAAAGAACCUGAAACCGUGUACGUACAAGCAGUGGGAGCCUCUUAAUGGGGUGACUGCGUACCUUUUGUAUAAUGGGUCAGCGACUUAUAUUCUGUAGCAAGGUUAACCGAAUAGGGGAGCCGAAGGGAAACCGAGUCUUAACUGGGCGUUAAGUUGCAGGGUAUAGACCCGAAACCCGGUGAUCUAGCCAUGGGCAGGUUGAAGGUUGGGUAACACUAACUGGAGGACCGAACCGACUAAUGUUGAAAAAUUAGCGGAUGACUUGUGGCUGGGGGUGAAAGGCCAAUCAAACCGGGAGAUAGCUGGUUCUCCCCGAAAGCUAUUUAGGUAGCGCCUCGUGAAUUCAUCUCCGGGGGUAGAGCACUGUUUCGGCAAGGGGGUCAUCCCGACUUACCAACCCGAUGCAAACUGCGAAUACCGGAGAAUGUUAUCACGGGAGACACACGGCGGGUGCUAACGUCCGUCGUGAAGAGGGAAACAACCCAGACCGCCAGCUAAGGUCCCAAAGUCAUGGUUAAGUGGGAAACGAUGUGGGAAGGCCCAGACAGCCAGGAUGUUGGCUUAGAAGCAGCCAUCAUUUAAAGAAAGCGUAAUAGCUCACUGGUCGAGUCGGCCUGCGCGGAAGAUGUAACGGGGCUAAACCAUGCACCGAAGCUGCGGCAGCGACACUAUGUGUUGUUGGGUAGGGGAGCGUUCUGUAAGCCUGUGAAGGUGGCCUGUGAGGGUUGCUGGAGGUAUCAGAAGUGCGAAUGCUGACAUAAGUAACGAUAAAGCGGGUGAAAAGCCCGCUCGCCGGAAGACCAAGGGUUCCUGUCCAACGUUAAUCGGGGCAGGGUGAGUCGACCCCUAAGGCGAGGCCGAAAGGCGUAGUCGAUGGGAAACAGGUUAAUAUUCCUGUACUUGGUGUUACUGCGAAGGGGGGACGGAGAAGGCUAUGUUGGCCGGGCGACGGUUGUCCCGGUUUAAGCGUGUAGGCUGGUUUUCCAGGCAAAUCCGGAAAAUCAAGGCUGAGGCGUGAUGACGAGGCACUACGGUGCUGAAGCGACAAAUGCCCUGCUUCCAGGAAAAGCCUCUAAGCAUCAGGUAACAUCAAAUCGUACCCCAAACCGACACAGGUGGUCAGGUAGAGAAUACCAAGGCGCUUGAGAGAACUCGGGUGAAGGAACUAGGCAAAAUGGUGCCGUAACUUCGGGAGAAGGCACGCUGAUAUGUAGGUGAAGCGACUUGCUCGUGGAGCUGAAAUCAGUCGAAGAUACCAGCUGGCUGCAACUGUUUAUUAAAAACACAGCACUGUGCAAACACGAAAGUGGACGUAUACGGUGUGACGCCUGCCCGGUGCCGGAAGGUUAAUUGAUGGGGUUAGCGGCAACGCGAAGCUCUUGAUCGAAGCCCCGGUAAACGGCGGCCGUAACUAUAACGGUCCUAAGGUAGCGAAAUUCCUUGUCGGGUAAGUUCCGACCUGCACGAAUGGCGUAAUGAUGGCCAGGCUGUCUCCACCCGAGACUCAGUGAAAUUGAACUCGCUGUGAAGAUGCAGUGUACCCGCGGCAAGACGGAAAGACCCCGUGAACCUUUACUAUAGCUUGACACUGAACAUUGAGCCUUGAUGUGUAGGAUAGGUGGGAGGCUUUGAAGUGUGGACGCCAGUCUGCAUGGAGCCGACCUUGAAAUACCACCCUUUAAUGUUUGAUGUUCUAACGUGGGCCCGUAAUCCGGGUUGCGGACAGUGUCUGGUGGGUAGUUUGACUGGGGCGGUCUCCUCCUAAAGAGUAACGGAGGAGCACGAAGGUUGGCUAAUCCUGGUCGGACAUCAGGAGGUUAGUGCAAUGGCAUAAGCCAGCUUGACUGCGAGCGUGACGGCGCGAGCAGGUGCGAAAGCAGGUCAUAGUGAUCCGGUGGUUCUGAAUGGAAGGGCCAUCGCUCAACGGAUAAAAGGUACUCCGGGGAUAACAGGCUGAUACCGCCCAAGAGUUCAUAUCGACGGCGGUGUUUGGCACCUCGAUGUCGGCUCAUCACAUCCUGGGGCUGAAGUAGGUCCCAAGGGUAUGGCUGUUCGCCAUUUAAAGUGGUACGCGAGCUGGGUUUAGAACGUCGUGAGACAGUUCGGUCCCUAUCUGCCGUGGGCGCUGGAGAACUGAGGGGGGCUGCUCCUAGUACGAGAGGACCGGAGUGGACGCAUCACUGGUGUUCGGGUUGUCAUGCCAAUGGCACUGCCCGGUAGCUAAAUGCGGAAGAGAUAAGUGCUGAAAGCAUCUAAGCACGAAACUUGCCCCGAGAUGAGUUCUCCCUGACCCUUUAAGGGUCCUGAAGGAACGUUGAAGACGACGACGUUGAUAGGCCGGGUGUGUAAGCGCAGCGAUGCGUUGAGCUAACCGGUACUAAUGAACCGUGAGGCUUAACCUU
rnacentral:rRNA from 1 species